rnacentral:lncRNA from 1 species
AGAAAGAAGAGCAGGUGCGUGGAAGUGGGUGGAAUUGCCGCAGAUGGUCCAGCGGGCUAUUGCAAGGAUUCUGGAAGCUGCGGGAAUUAUUUGAGGACACUUGAAGCACACCUACUACAUUCUUCUGCUGGCGUUAUUCCAGUUUAAAGAAAGCUUGGGGUCUUGCUGUGUUGACCAAGUUGGAGUGCAGUGGCAUGAUCUCAGCUCAUUGCAACCUCUGCCUCCUGAGUUCAAGCAUUCUCCUCUCUCAGCCUCCCAAGUAGCUGGGACUACAGGCAUGUACCACCACACCUGGGUAAUUUUUGUAAUUUUUUAGUAGAAAUGGGGUUUCACCAUGUUGACCAGGCUGGCCUUGAACUCUUGACCUCAAGUGAUCCACCCACUUCGGCCUCCCGAAGUGCUGGGAUUACAGGCGUGAGCCACCACAUCUAGCUGACAAUUCUUUUAUAAUAUUUAAUUAUAUAGAAUAAAGGGAGAGAAAUAGUGAGGGGGGAUAUGGAAAUGAGUUUUACUUUUCCUCCCAAAGUGGAAGAAAAUAACAACAAUCUGUGAACAUGUUUAAAUGCUGAUGGGAAGGAACUGGUAGAGAAGGAGAGCUGAAUGUGGGGAACUGGAAAUUAUUCCUUGAAUCUGUUCUUCCUUUCUGUCAUAGUAAAAGAGUUUUAGUUAGGCACCUGGCCAUCCAGCUAGAAACUACAUUUCCCAAACUCCUUGCAACUAAUGGUCUGAAUAGUGACUAGGUUCCCCUAGUAAUGCACUCUCUUGGUAUGCUGGAAGGCAGAAUGAGGUAUCCAGCACAGUUGUGGUCUUCCGGUGGAAUGCUAGGGUUCAGCAUUCAGAAACUUGUGGCAGUGGCUUUUAAAUUUGUCUCUUUAAAGCCCUGUUAUUAGCAACCAGCUCUGCUACUACCUAGCAGGAGGUUUGGAGAACACCUCUUCACCAAGCACUGGGGAAGGGGCCUUCCUUGGUAGCUGUCCUCUGACUUCCAGAGAAGACAAUGGAAAUGCUGCAAAAAUGGCAUGUCCCAAUUACAACGAGAAAAUGGGAUUCCAGAGAGGUAGAGGGUAGGUGGGAGUUGUUAAUAGACAAAGACAAAUUUAUGUGCAGUUAGCACAAUGCAUCAUGGAGAAGGAAUGGUCAUAGGAGUGUUUUGACAUGAAAUCAAGGGGCAGCUUACUGAGGUCCACUGAGUAGACCUAGACCUCUAGGACUACUGGGCAGAAACAAACUAGACACCAUGUUAGGAUUCAUGGCUUCCUACCAGAGUCUCAGAACUCAGCCAGUGGACGGAUGAAGCCCCUCAACAGAGAUGGAGGCCAGUUGCCUCUGAAGAAGAACUCUGUACUUUAGCCAUAGUGUAUCCAGUGGAUUUCCUCCCAAGUCUUCCACAGGGUGACCUGGAGCUAUUCACCCAGGGGUCUGUGGACGGGGAGAAGGGAAUAUAAAACCUACUGGGAAGUAUCACAUACUGGCUCUGAUUUUACACUUAUGCCACAGACCAAAAACAUUACAAUCAUCUGCCAAAGUAGGGCUUAUGGAUGUCAGGUGUUAGAUGAAUUUGUGGCUCCAAUUCAUGUAACAGUGGACCUACUGGGAUUGCAGGCCCAUCCAGUGUAUAUUAUCCCAGUCCCAGGAUAUCUGGUGGGAAUACAUACACACACACACACACACACAUAUGCAUACAGGUACACAUACACAUGCAUGUACACAUACACAUGUACAUGCAUAUGCAUACACAUAUAGUUGGUAACUAGCAGGAUACCAUUCUGGUUCCCUGUCCUGUUGAGUGAAGGCUACUAUGAAAGGAAGGACUAUCUAGGGCCACUGGAGCUCUUCCCAAACAAUUCACCAAGCUACUAAACAGUAAGUGAUCCUGCUAGGGGAAUUGUAGAAAUUACUGCUGCCAUAAAGACCUUGAGAGAAGCAGGGGUAGUAAUUCCUACUAUAUCUGCAUAAAACUUUUCUGUUUGGCUGGAACAAAAGCCUAACGGGCCUUGAAAAUGACAGUGGAUUAUUGCAAACCUAAUCAGGUGGUGAAGUUAGUUGCAGCUAUGGUUUUGGAUACAGGAUAUUUACUGAAACAAAUGAUCCCCCCAGGCACCUGACAUACAACUGUUGUCCUGAAAAUGCGUUCUUUCCCAUCCUAACCAGUAGGCAAAAUCAGAAGCAGUUUGCAUUUAUAUAGCAGAGACAAGGGUAUAUCUUUAUUGUAUUCUGUGGAACAUCACACGAGUUCUUUACAUUGAUAAGCAUGUUGUUUGUUGGACCUAGUGAGAAGGAAGUAGAAAAUAUAUAUGCUAAGGGUGGGAGAUAAACCCUCUGAAAGUUCAGGGCCCUGCCACCACUUUGGUGACGUGUGAAAAGAGGCCAGUGGUUUGUAGCAUGUUAGGAAAUCACAAAUGGCAGGACUUUGCACCCUCCACCACAAAGAAAAAGGCACUGUAUUUGAUAAGCCUCUGGAUUUUGGUGACAACAUAUACCACAUUUGGGCAUGCUGCACUAACCUACUUAGGAAAUAACCUAUAAGCUUCCAGUCUUAAGGAAGUCCUGGAACAAGAAUAAGACCUGCAGCAUGUCCAGGCUGGGUUGAAAGUUGACAUGCCACUUGAGUCUUAUGACCUAAUGGAUUCAAUGGCAUUGGAACUGUAGCAUGGCAGCAGAGAUGCUGUUUGGAGACUCUGGCAAGUCCCAGAACAAAGCACUUGGUGGUCUAGUGACUGGACAACCUAAAACACCUACCACAAACUAACUAUCAUCUGAUCACAACCAUAAAACUGGGCAUGCCCAGUAGUAUUCCAUUGUAAAAUGGAAAUGGCAAUUACGAGACGCAGCCCUAACAGGUCCAGAAGGUACCGAUAAACUAUUUUGUAAACUGAGCAUGAGCACAAGGCUCAGACUCAUGUCUUAUUGUGAGUUGGUAUCAAUUCAGACAUACUGUCACCUGAAACCUGAAAUAUUAGUAUAGUUACAUUUAAGAUGUGGGAAGUUGGGAGGGAGAAACAACUAAAUAACACAAAAUACAGUGACUACAAUCCUCCAAGUUGAAAACUGUAUGAAUAUUGUAACUUUUCAUCACCUUUGACAGCUCUAAGUUACAUGGUUGUGAUGCUCACACAUAUCUAGUUUUUUUUCUCCUCUUAGAAACCUGAAAGAUUACACUUUGCUGUCCUCCUCGCAGUUGGGGCCAUGUGGUCCUGGCCAAUAGGUUAUGAGGUGAAGUCACAUAUAUCACUUUCAGGCUGAAGUAUUUAAUUGCUGGUGUAAUAAUCUCUUGCACUCUCUUCUCUUACUUCGGCAAAUCUUGCUAUCUGGAGCAGCUGGAGUGAUCCUAGAUGACUGAAACGUGUAAUGUGUUGGUCAACACUAAAUAAAGUCAAAGUACUUAAAAAUCUUUCCUUUUA